rnacentral:lncRNA from 1 species
CCACCUGCUGCAUACUGAUUUGUUGUGUUUAUACUAUUUAUCUCAUGUUUGUUCAGGGAAUAUUUUUUUGUCAGAGAUGCCCCUAAAUGAACAAAUACACUGGUUUCUUUCAAUAGCACAAGCUUUCAGAUUUGAGAUGUGAAGUAAACUGCGAUUUGUCGGCGACUUGCAUGCUGCGUAUGUAGGAUGAGAAUCUCAUCUCGUUCUUAGCUAAUUGGUAUAUGUUGUGUUUGUUCCACAUGUACCUGAGGUUUCAAAGGCUGUUUCUGAGCAUAGACUUGCAUAAAGGUGUCAUCAAGAACUAAGAAAACUAGUGCAAAUACAGAUGAUUGAUCCAUUAGCUGCUCACGAAUGUUGUGCAGGGGAGGCUAUGGAAAAAUAAAUCUUUGCCUUCUUGGCUAAAACAGGAAAAUUCGUGCAGAAAAUUUUGCCUGAUCUUAUAUUGAGAUGCAAAUGAUACUAAGAGGGUUUCUCACUUUAAAAAAAAUAAGUUAUAUCUUGUCAACUUGAGACAAUUGAUGCGGAGAAUGACUGCACGAGAUAGUAACGUUGUUCUGUUGAGUUCGCAUUCUUUUACGCUCAUUUCUAGUCUUCCUGCUGAAAGAUCUAUCCUUGUUUGUGGCUACGGCGAGGUGGAUAAAGAGCUCUGAGCACGACAUUUACGGAGGUAGUGCGAAACACCACCAAUGCUUCGUGCCUGGUCCCUGCAAUUGUGCAUUAAGUUCCCUGAAUCCCUUCAGGUUCCUAUUCUAGAACUGCGUUUUGCAUUCAUUGAAAAUGCUUGUAUUGCAGUUCAGUAUGAUCCUAGCUAUAGAUUUUCUCUGGAAGACCUAAGGUUGUUUGGUCAUUCAUGCUUUUGUUCAUUCUUGUAUUGCAUAAUCUCUUCAGCUUGCAAGUUGCGGUAAGUGCCAUAGUAGUGGAGUAUUGAUGAAAUGUAGAAGUUACGUAGAUGUUGUGCAGUUUGAUUUCCAACACAUCUAUUGCCAAUUGAAUUAUGUGCGGUUGAUGGAUUUGUGCAAUUCCACUGCUGAAUGUGCGAGCAAACAACAUUAGUUCUACAAUGCUCCAAAUUGUGCUUUAGCUGUCAAGACAUUUGAAGAGUCACGAUUGGUCGCAAAGGGUUUUGAAAACUGCCUGGACUCGGUGAGGAUAUUAUUUGAAAACCUGUUUACACUUCUAAAUGGCGUCUUAGGUUGCACAAUUAUGCAAGGCAGUGGUCAAUAGCUUUUCUUUACGUUUCAAUCGUUUUGGUGUUACUAUGUAGUGUCAAAAUUUGGCCACCUUUACACUACUUAACGCGGUAACAUAUUAGUGUGCGUCCACUGCAGCUUUGUCCUAACGGAAAUGUAGUCUGCAGGAGAAGGAAAGUGUAAUGACGACUUGUUGCAUCGACUUUCUAAAUCGUACCAUGUUCACUCAGAAUGACCAUUCUGAACUUUCCAACUCUCUGUCUCUACGAAGUGUGCUAGACAAAGUUGCACGGGUGUGGAGGCAUGCAAGUUAGCGAUGAAAAGUAGCUAUGUGCGACAAAAUUGAAUUUUAGACCAACUCCUUCGUGCAGGGGUUAUCAUUUAUGAAAAGCGAGAACACCACAGAAUUUCAGCUGGCUGUCAAAUCAAUGGCACUGUCUGUGUAAAGCAUGCUGCGACGAAAAGCACCUCUUGCCAGUGGCUUCUGUUCCUUGUCAGGGGCGUGACACUUACGACUCUUGUAUGUGAUAGAAGAUAUGGUAUCUAAGAGAAUAAAACUUUGAAGUUGUGCUUCAUCGUUUGCACGUGUGCUGAUGUCGUUAAUCUGAU